rnacentral:rRNA from 1 species
UUUAUCAAAAACAUGUCCGUUUGAAGAUGUAAAUGGUCUGGCCUGCUCACUGAUAAAAUAUUAAAGAGCCGCGGUAUAUUGACCGUGCAAAGGUAGCAUAAUCACUAGGAGUUUAAUUGGAACCUUGAAUGAAGGGUUGGACAAAGAGGAACUGUCUCUGUAAUGAGGAUUGAAGUUUACUUUUAAGUGAAAAGGCUUAAAUAUAUCAGAGGGACGAUAAGACCCUAUAAAGCUUUACAUAGAUUUAAAUUUAACUAAUAUUAAUUAAAUAAAGGUUAGGUUUAAUUAUUUGUUUUAUUGGGGUGAUAUGAGUAUAAAUAUUAAUAACUGCUUAAGAAAAAUACUAGUAUAAUAGGUUUAUAAGUGGAUGAUCCUUUUUAAAGAUUAAAAGACUAAGUUACUUUAGGGAUAACAGCGUUAUUUCUCUUGAGAGUUCAUAUCGAAAGAGGAGAUUGCGACCUCGAUGUUGAAUUAAAAUAUCUAUAUAAUGCAGCCGUUAUAAAAGAGGUCUGUUCGACCUUUAAUUU